rnacentral:rRNA from 1 species
GAUGAACGCUGGCGGCGUGCCUAAUACAUGCAAGUCGAACGGAAGGUAGCAAUACCUUUAGUGGCGAACGGGUGAGUAACGCGUUGGUGACCUGCCCCGAAGUGUGGAAUAACAGAUCGAAAGAGCUGCUAAUACCGCAUAAUAUCCAGAGGACUAGAUGCCUUUGGAUUAAAGGAUUUAUUCGCUUCGGGAGGGGCCUGCGUCCCAUCAGCUAGUUGGUAAGGUAAAGGCUUACCAAGGCUAUGACGGGUAGGGGACCUGAGAGGGUGGCCCCCCACAAUGGAACUGAAACACGGUCCAUACACCUACGGGUGGCAGCAGUAGGGAAUAUUAGUAAUGGGCGAAAGCCUGAACUAGCAACGCCGCGUGUGCGAAGAAGGCCUUCGGGUUGUAAAGCACUUUUUGAGAGGAUGAGGAAGGACGGUACUCUCAGAAUAAGUCUCGGCUAACUACGUG